CUUUGUAUGGCACCCCAAACAUCUUGUUUCAUGUUGGUUAUUAUGUGAUCAGAACAAAAAGCCAAUUCGUUCAGCCAGCAGCCUACAAAGUCUCUGAAAGCCAAAUCUAGAAGAUUCUGCAGAGCUCCAUCAACCAGCCUGGUGACUCUUUAUAGCAUCGAGUACUCUAGAAAAAAUUCAUGAAAUAGUUGAUGAAGGAAAAUUUAAAUUGGGUGGAGAGAAUCAAUGAAUUUUGAGUGAAUUUUGAGAAAAGAAGAGGAAACUUUGGUGCACAUUUGUGAGUGCAGAGAAAUAAAAGCGGACAUGAGGAAUGCAGAGGUAGACAGACUAGAAAGAUGGCUGGAGAAAACAGUAAGAGUGAAAGAGAAAAUAAAUAAAGCGCUAAAAGGAAAAAUAAGUAAAGAGUUGUAUGUAUGAGAGGAUACAAAUGGAUGAUGAAAAAAAAUGUAAGUGAAGAAAAGAUACGGAAAUAAAGAAGAAAGAUGUCUAGUAUGUAAGCUGAGACUUUGGUAAAUAGAGGGGGAACUAUGUGAAAACCUGUACUUGAAAAUAAGCUACUACUACUACUACAAAGUCCACAGAAAUUAUCAAACAAAUUAUACAAACCAUUAGC